rnacentral:rRNA from 1 species
GAUGAACGCUAGCGGCAGGCCUAACACAUGCAAGUCGAGGGAGAGGUUACCUUCGGGUAACCAAAACCGGCGCACGGGUGCGUAACGCGUAUACAAUCUGCCUUUCACAUAGGGAUAGCCCGAAGAAAUUUGGAUUAAUACCUAAUGGUAUAUAAGAGCGGCAUCGUUUUUAUAUUAAAGCUACGGUGGUGAAAGAUGAGUAUGCGUUCUAUUAGCUAGUUGGAGAGGUAACGGCUCCCCAAGGCGACGAUAGAUAGGGGUUCUGAGAGGGAUGUCCCCCACACUGGUACUGAGAUACGGAGCAGACACCUACGGGAGGCAGCAGUGAGGAAUAUUGGACAAUGGUCGGAAGACUGAUCCAGCCAUGCCGCGUGCAGGAUGAAGGUCCUAUGGAUUGUAAACUGCUUUUGGAAGGGAAGAAUAAGGAGUACGUGUACUUUGAUGACGGUACCUGACGAAUAAGCAUCGGCUAACUCCGUG